rnacentral:rRNA from 1 species
UACGAAGGGGGCUAGCGUUGCUCGGAAUGACUGGGCGUAAAGGGCGCGUAGGCGGCUUGUCCAGUCAGGCGUGAAAUUCCCGGGCUCAACCUGGGGGCUGCGCUUGAGACGUGCGAUCUUGAGUGGGGAAGAGGGUCGUGGAAUUCCCAGUGUAGAGGUGAAAUUCGUAGAUAUUGGGAAGAACACCGGUGGCGAAGGCGGCGACCUGGUCCUUGACUGACGCUGAGGCGCGAAAGCGUGGGGAGCAAACAGG